rnacentral:ncRNA from 1 species
AGCCUGCAGCUUAAUUUGACUAAAUAUGGAAAAUCUCAUUCGGACCGGACGGAAUGAGGACUGACCGACUGAUAGCUCUUUCUUGAUUUGGGGGUUGUCGGUGCAUGUCAGUUCUUAAUUGGUGGAACAGUUUAUCUUAUUACUUCCAAUAACGAACAAGACUUUAACCCGCUAAUUAGUACAUUUGUCCACUGCAAUAGCCGAGCGGCACAGUGUCAAAUACUUGAAUUCAUUGUAGGAUCCAGUCCAUUUGUACAUCCUGUAUGAUCAUGUUGCUGUACGGUGUGGUCGUGUAUGGAUGUGUGCGUAUUUGGUCCACAGGUUGUACUCUGGUGGAUGGCAUCACGUCAAGUGUUUAACAUAACAUUACUGCUGUUAUAUGAAUUUCUUAAAAACCAUUUAAGCU